UUUUUUUUUUUUUUUUUUUCAUUUUAGAAUUGGUUUGAAACUGUAGCAACAUUUUAAGGCAUCUCAGCCAAAUCACCGAAACUUGUGUUUGAUGUUUGAACACAGGGCGUUGGCUCGGCCAUCAACAAGCUUAACGAUCAGGUGGCCAUGAUCGCAGAAGUCAAAUCCAUAGCUCAUUCAUUAGGAUUGUCAACAAAGACACAGAAUCUGUUUGAGGGGAGCAGUUUGAGACUGUAAUCCAAUCCAAUGUAGUAGGGCAAUGACCUGAAGCAAUUAGGAAUUAUUAUGAAAUUAAUAAGUAUUUCUUGUUAUGAAAUAAUAUAAAGACAAGAACAAUAAUGCAAGAACAAGAGAGAAUAGAGAGAGAAGUAUUCUUAUUGAUACUUAGAGAUUGUUAGGGAUGUAUUACAAU
rnacentral:lncRNA from 1 species